rnacentral:rRNA from 1 species
CGGAGGAAGGUGGGGAUGACGUCAAGUCAUCAUGCCCCUUAUGUCCAGGGCUUCACACAUGCUACAAUGGCCGGUACAAAGGGCUGCGAUGCCGUGAGGUGGAGCGAAUCCUUUCAAAGCCGGUCUCAGUUCGGAUCGGGGUCUGCAACUCGACCCCGUGAAGUCGGA